UACGGAGGGUGCAAGCGUUGCUCGGAAUCAUUGGGCGUAAAGCGUACGCAGGCUGUUCGUUAAGUCGGGUGUGAAAGCCCGGGGCUCAACCCCGGAACUGCGCCCGAAACUGGCGAGCUUGAGUGCGGGAGAGGGAAGCGGAAUUCCUGGUGUAGAGGUGAAAUUCGUAGAUAUCAGGAGGAACACCGGUGGUGUAGACGGCUUUCUGGACCGUAACUGACGCUGAGACACGAAAGCGUGGGUAGCAAACAGG
rnacentral:rRNA from 1 species